GACGAACGCUGGCGGCGUGCUUAACACAUGCAAGUCGAACGGAAAGGCCCCUUUGGGGGUACUCGAGUGGCGAACGGGUGAGUAACACGUGAGUAACCUGCCCUUGACUUCGGGAUAACUUCAGGAAACUGGGGCUAAUACCGGAUAGGAAUCCUUGCUGCAUGGUGGGGGUUGGAAAGCUUCGGCGGUUUUGGAUGGACUCGCGGCUUAUCAGCUUGUUGGUGGGGUAGUGGCUUACCAAGGCUUUGACGGGUAGCCGGCCUGAGAGGGCGACCGGCCACAUUGGGACUGAGAUAUGGCCCAGACUCCUACGGGAGGCAGCAGUGGGGAAUAUUGCACAAUGGGCGGAAGCCUGAUGCAGCAACGCCGCGUGCGGGAUGACGGCCUUCGGGUUGUAAACCGCUUUCAGCAGGGGCGAAGCUUGUGGUGACGGUACCUGCAGAAGAAGCACCGGCUAACUACGUG
rnacentral:rRNA from 1 species